AGAACGAACGCUGGCGGCAUGCCUAAUACAUGCAAGUCGAACGAACACUUCGGUGUUAGUGGCGCACGGGUGCGUAACGCGUGGGAAUCUGCCCUUGGGUUCGGAAUAACAGUUGGAAACGACUGCUAAUACCGGAUGAUAUCGAAAGAUCAAAGAUUUAUCGCCCAGGGAUGAGCCCGCGUAGGAUUAGCUAGUUGGUGAGGUAAAGGCUCACCAAGGCGACGAUCCUUAGCUGGUCUGAGAGGAUGAUCAGCCACACUGGGACUGAGACACGGCCCAGACUCCUACGGGAGGCAGCAGUAGGGAAUAUUGGACAAUGGGCGCAAGCCUGAUCCAGCAAUGCCGCGUGAGUGAUGAAGGCCUUAGGGUUGUAAAGCUCUUUUACCCGAGAUGAUAAUGACAGUAUCGGAGAAUAAGCCCCGGCUAACUCCGUGCCAGCAGCUGC
rnacentral:rRNA from 1 species